CCUACGGGUGGCAGCAGUAGGGAAUCUUUCACAAUGGGCGAAAGCCUGAUGGAGCAACGCCGCGUGCAGGAUGAAGGCCUUCGGGUUGUAAACUGCUUUUAUAAGCGAGAAAUAUGAUGGUAACUUAUGAAUAAGGAUCGGCUAACUACGUGCCAGCAGCCGCGGUCAUACGUAGGAUCCGAGCAUUAUCCGGAGUGACUGGGUGUAAAGAGUUGCGUAGGUGGCAUAAUAAGUAGCUAGUGAAAUCUGGUGGCUCAACCAUUCAGACUAUUAGCUAAACUGUUAAGCUCGAGACCGUUAGAGGUAACUGGAAUUUCUGGUGUAGGAGUGAAAUGCGUAGAUAUUAGAAAGAACACCGAUAGCGUAGGCAGGUUACUGGGACGGUUCUGACACUAAGGCACGAAAGCGUAGGGAGCAAACGGGAUUAGAUACCCGUGUAGUC
rnacentral:rRNA from 1 species